UACGUAGGGGGCAAGCGUUAUCCGGAUUUAUUGGGCGUAAAGAGCUCGUAGGCGGCCGUUCGCGUCGGAUGUGAAAGCUCAGGGCUCAACUCUGAGACGCCAUUCGAUACGGGACGGCUAGAGGUAGGUAGGGGAAAGUGGAAUUCCUGGUGUAGCGGUGAAAUGCGCAGAUAUCAGGAGGAACACUGGUGGCGAAGGCGGACCUCUGGGCCAUUACUGACGCUGAGGAGCGAAAGCGUGGGGAGCGAACAGG
rnacentral:rRNA from 1 species